rnacentral:rRNA from 1 species
GAGUGGCGCACGGGUGAGUAACACGUAGGUAAUCUACCUUCGGGUGGGGAAUAACAACCGGAAACGGUUGCUAAUACCGCAUAAUGCACUAAUGGUGACAGUUGUUAAGGCGGGGGAUCGAAAGACCUCGCGCCUGAAGAGGAGCCUGCGGCGGAUUAGCUAGUUGGCAGGGUAAUGGCCUACCAAGGCGACGAUCCGUAGCCGGCCUGAGAGGGCGGUCGGCCACACUGACACUGACAUACGGGUCAGACUCCUACGGGAGGCAGCAGUCGGGAAUUUUGGGCAAUGGGCGAAAGCCUGACCCAGCAACGCCGCGUGAAGGAUGAAAUCCCUCGGGAUGUAAACUUCGUAAGAACGGGAAGAAUUAGCCUGUGCGAAUAACACAGGUGAUGACGGUACCGUUUGUAAGCUCCGGCUAACUCCGUGCCAGCAGCCGCGGUAAUACGGGGGGAGCAAGCGUUGUUCGGAUUUACUGGGCGUAAAGGGCGCGUAGGCGGCCACCGCAAGUCAGUUGUGAAAUCUCCGGGCUUAACUCGGAAAGGUCAACUGAUACUGCGGGGCUAGAGUGCAGAAGGGGCAACUGGAAUUCUCGGUGUGGCGGUGAAAUGCGUAGAUAUCGAGAGGAACACCUGCGGCGAAGGCGGGUCGCUGGGCCGACAC